GGGGGGGUCGGGGGGGGGACGGGCGGCGCCGCGCCCUUAAAACGGCCCCGAAUUGGAGGGGGGGGGGAUUGGAGCGCCUUCGGGACCGGGAAGCGGAGCGGAACCGGAGCGGAACCGGGAUCGGAACCGGGGGAUACGGAACCGGGAUCGAAGUACAGGGAUCGGAGGACCGGGAUUGGAGUACCCGGAGCGGGGUUAAAGCACCGCUAUUGGGAUCCGGAUCCGGGAUCGGAACACCGGGACCGGGAUUGGAGUGUUGGAAGUGGGAUCGGAAUCCGGAUCCGGGUCGGAACACCGCUAUUUGGGGUCGGGAUCCGAAUAUCGGGACUGGGAUUGGAGUACCGGGAGUGAGAGUGGGGUCCGGACCGGGAUCGGAGCACCGGAACCGGGAUUGGAGUGUUGAAAGUGGGAUCGGGAUCCGAACCGGGUUGGAGAGCCGCUAUUAGGAUCCGGAUCCGGACCGGGUCCGGGAUCCGGGCCGGGAUCGGAGCACCGAGAGUGGGAUCGCAGCGCUGCUAUUGGGAUCGGACCGCGAUCCGAACCGGGAUCGGAUUGGGACUGGGAUUGGGAUCGGACCGGGAGUGGGAUUGGAACGUCGGUAACGGGAUCGGAACCGGGAUCCGUGCUGGGAUCGGAGCGCCGUUAAUAGGGUCGGAACCGGGAUCUGAGCUGGGAUUGGAGCGCUGUUAAUAGGAUCAGAACCGGGAUCAGAGCACUGUUAGUAGGAUCAGAACCGGGAUCUGAGCUGGGAUCGGAGCGCCAUUAAUAGGAUCAGAACCGGGAUCUGAGCUCACAGCGCCAGGAUCCGGGCUGGGAAUUGGACCCCAAACGGGCCCUGAGCGCCGGCAUUGCUGGGAUUGUUGGCAUCGUUGGCUGUGGGACCCCCCCUCGUUGCCCCCCACCCCCUGCGGGCGUUGGCCUCCGGGCGUUGGGAUUGUAGGUGGGACCCCACAGCGCCGCCCCAUAGCGCCGCCCCAUAGCCCCGGCCCCCCAAGGUCACCCGGAGCCGCCGCCGGGGCCGCCAGUUGUGCCGUAGUCGGCCCUAAAGGCCACCGGGGCCACCAAAAGACCCUCCCUAAGGGCCACCAAAGACCCCCCCAGGGCCACUGAAGACCCCCCCAGGGCCACCAAAGACCCCCCCAGGGCCACCAAAGCCACUGAGGCCACCGAAGCCAACUCCAGAGCCACUAAAACCACCAAAGGCCACCAGGGCCACUGAAGACCCCCCCAGGGCCACCAAAGACCCCCCCAGGGCCACCAAAGCCACCUCUGGAGCCGCCGAGGCCACCAAAGACCCCCCCCAGGGCCACCAAAACAGCCACCAACGCCACCUGAAGAGCCACCAAGGCCACCAAGGCCACCAAAGCCAACUCUACAGCCACCAAAGCCAACUCUACAGCCCUCAGGGCCACCAAGGCCACCUGUAGGGCCACCAAGGCCACCAAAGCCAACUCUACAGCCCUCAGGUCCACCAAAGCCAACUCAAGAGCUACUGAAGGCCCCCAAGGCCACCUGUAGAGCCACCAAAGCCAACUCUACAGCCACCAAAGCCAACUCUACAGCCACCAAAGCCAACAGUAGAGCUACUGAAGGCCCCCAAGGCCACCUGUAGAGCCACCAAAGCCAACUGUAGAUCCACCAAAGCCAACUGUAGAGCUACUGAAGACCCCCAAGGCCACCAAAGCCAACUGUAGAUCCACCAAAGCCAACUCUACAGCCUCCAAAGCCAACUGUAGAGCUACUGAAGGCCCCCAAGGCCACCUGUAGAGCCACCAAAGCCAACUCUACAGCCACCAAAGCCACCAAGGCCACCAAAGCCAUCUCUACAGCCACCAAAGCCAACUGUAGAGCUACUGAAGACCCCCAAGGCCACCAAAGCCAACUCUACAGCCUCCAAAGCCAACUGUAGAGCUACUGAAGACCCCCAAAGCCAACUGUGGAGCUACUGAAGACCCCCAAAGCCAACUGUAGAGCUACUGAAGACC
rnacentral:lncRNA from 1 species